rnacentral:lncRNA from 1 species
CCGCGUGGGAUCCGUCGUAGGGAGUGGAGCAGUGCUGCGAUCGUUACUGCAGCCUGUCAGGGAGUGGUGGAGCUGCGCGGAAUCCGUCGCAGGAAGUGUAGCAGAAUCGUGGCCGUGAUUGCGGCCUGGGAGUGCAGAUCUGCCGGCUGAAGUUCGGCCGUGGUCGGAGUCUGACCCCACGUAGGGGUCCGGGCGGAGUCCUCC